GACCUGAAAUCAUUGGUAAAUUGGCAUUGGCAAUCUGCAGUGAACCACAAUUGGAUGUGCUUGGCGUCAGUUAGUAGCAAAUGUUCAGAACUACCCACACAUGCACAGUCAAGAGAUUAACACUAAGCGGUUACAGAAAGUAGUAGAGAUGAAGCAAGCAACAAUAUUUACUUCCGGGAUAUUAUCAGUGGAUCCAUAAGACGGAAGAUAAAGGUACUCCAAUCAUAUUUGAUCAAGGAACGAAGAAGCAUGGGGCGUAAUUAAGCACCUCAGUAGAUGAUCAGGCUUUGAACCCUCUGCUGCCCACAAGUAUCAGUAUCAAAAUGACCUUGCCCAGGUAGUGUACCAACCACAUAUUAGCAUGAGCUCGUCCAAAUACAAGACAAGGUAUACCAACCACAUAUUAUUCCUGGACAUCUCACCUAACUUUGUAUCUAAUGAAUGGAGACACGAGAAGCACAUGACCUGAAACAAGGUGGGGACUGAAGAACAACGAGAC
rnacentral:lncRNA from 1 species